GCCCUAGUAGCUUACUUAAGCAUUGUUUUGUGAAACCAAAG
rnacentral:tRNA from 1 species